GCAAUAAUAGCUUAACUUUAGUAAAGCAAUGGCCUUGUAAGUCGUAGAUAUUCUUUUUAUUGCU
rnacentral:tRNA from 1 species